GGUAAUUUCCUUUUGGAAUAAUGAAUUCACUGCUGUAAAUCAUAUUUAGUUAUUUAUUAAGCCUAGUCAUUCCAUUUUUGUGUUUCAGAUUAGUUUUGUUACAAUUGCAUUGUACAGUGGACCAAAGUGGCUGCACGCAAGCACUCUAGCCCACCUACUUCUGUAAAAUGUCCUCUGUGCAAGACAGAAAAUUUUUCUAUACUACAUGGAUAUGAUGGAAGUUCAUUUCAACGGCAUUACAUUAAUCGAGAUUUUGGAUAAAGCUUUCUCUUAACAAGAGCACACAAGUAUAGAUAAUAGUGUUAUUACACUGAACCAGGUCUUAUGCUGCUUGUCAUUCUAUUUAUUGGUUCUUCUUAAUGCUACCUGUUUGUAACUUUAUUUCCUGACAAAAUCACUAUUACCUGUAUUUAUGCUUUUCUGAUAACCGUGUGUUCAAUCAGGUAUAGUAGAUGACAUAUUCAAGGUACUAUGGUACUAGAAAUCUCAUAAGUAUCUUCAGCCAAACCACUGGCUCCAAAGUUGGUUGAGAAGGGAAAUACAAGCUCUUAUACAGGUCUGCAAAUUAACCAGUCUAAUGUUUCCUU